GAUAAGUGAAAGUCUUGUCAAAAGUGGUAUGAUCGAUCGCAUCAUUGCAAUAAUAGAAUUUUGACGUAUGAUAAUAUUGUUUUGAUGAGAGGAUCAUAUGAUCCCUUCUAAGAGUCUUCUUGUGACUGAACUGAUCAUGUGAUUUUUAUCAUAGGAUCAUAUGAUUCCAUUUGAGUCUUACUGUUACUUGUAUGAUUCUAAUGAUUCUCAAUUGUUUCACUUUUAGGUCAUUUCCCUGUGUUUUGCCUGGACUCUGAAACUAGAUGCUCCAUCCAACAGGAUAUUAGAGGACAACGCGGAAAGCAUUGAAGCCCCUCUUUUAUCAUAAGCAUUACCGAAACUUGCCAACAUGUGUGACAUGUUCAAUAAAUUAGAUUAGACAAUACUGGACGUUACCGAGGAAGAAAAAGAAGUUAAAAUCUUGUCCAUUGUAUAUUGUAAUCUUGUCGUGUAUCAUACAAGGCCAUAUAGUCUACUAAUGAUGCCAUGGUGAAUGCUUUUCUUCUCCUUUAAAAGUUGUACAUGUGGAUGAGGCAGUUAUAUUAGUUUUGUUGGUAUUCACGAGAGCAUUUCUCUACAUAUAGAUGUUCUCGCUCAAGUAAAAUUUCUCUUUCUUUGCGUUUUCUAAUUAGAGUUUUUGCACUUCAGUUUCCAAACUUUUUUGAAAUGUUACUAAUCUAUG
rnacentral:lncRNA from 1 species